CGAUGUCCCAGGGUGACGUGGGAGGCCCGGGGACGGAGCCCGCUGCACAGACGCUAGCCUCGGUGACUCACAUUUGGGCCCCGAGGGGAAGUUCCAUCUGGGAGUCCUUUGGAUGGCUCUUGUCCCCCGGGAGCCUCUGGGGCCUAAAGGCAGUGGCUGUGACAGCCCCGUGAAAGGAAGGACCCCGAGUCAAUGCCGCACUGGUACCGCUUACGAGGACGCUGCGGGGACCCAGCCGCCAGGCCACCACCCUACUGCGUGUCCCCAGGCCAUCGGUCUGCAAGUAGACACGGCCACGGGUAGGAAAGUGUCCCCAGCAGAGUCGACUGGAAAUGCGCUUGGGUUUGGGACAAAGAUGCAGCUCUCCAGUCACCCAAGCACCCCCAGCAGCUACAGAACACCUGACUCCUCCCCAGACCCACC